GCCUCUGGGCCGGGUAGUCCAUGAACAGGUUUAGUUUGAUCUAUUCACUCACAUUUUGAUCCUCGUUCAUUAUAGCAUUUAACCAUAAUUCAUAUGAACAUGCACCACGAGAAUAUAAUAAAGGAAAUGCAUGGGUCAAUUUGUAGUACACAACGCCUUAUUGUGCGAUAUCACAAGAACAUUUUUCACCUUGAUUACAGUAGUAACUACUGUGCAAUCUUAUAUAUCAAAUCAUAUAUUAUAUGACAAAUUAAGUAUAUUUUUUUGCUUAUUUCAGUAUUACCUUCAUAAGGAAUAUAGUCACAAAUUUUGCUCCAAACGCAACGUUAUUGAGUUCAUACGAAAUGGAACUGUGAAAGGGAAGUCGGUUCAGAAGGUGCCUAAAUACUUGACUUUCAAACAUAUAGUAAUUAUGCGAAGAUGUAUAUGUUUUUUGUAUUAAAUUUAAAGUAUUAAUUUGACACGGAAUCCUAUUUUUGCACAGAGAUCAUCUGAUACUUCUACGAACAAUCUUCAUGGUAUGUCCAGUUGGCCCCAUGCAUUUGGAUAUUAUUUUGUCUACUAUUAUUACUAUAGAGAGAAAUCUAACUGAAACUGAAAUAUAAUAAAUAUUCAUGGAGAGAAAAAUAGACAUUAAUGUCCACAUACACAACAAAAUUAACCAGUAUUGUCCUAGUUUACAUGAAUUAAUAUUUGCAAUGACAAUUAGGUUACUCAUGACAUGAUAAAGAAAAAGUUUUUUGUGAGGUAAGAUAAGGUUUUAUAUAACUGUUCAUGGGGACCUCCUCAUGGUUGCAGAUACAUAGUAUUAUAGUGCUUCAUGAAAUAGUUGCAUAUCACCAUGUCUAAAAGAAGAAUCAUGACGGACACAACUUCAAGAAAUUCUUCUUGUCAAAUAACAUGAUUUGUAUAUACCUCAUAGAGGAUGUAACUUGUUGGUAGAAUUUAAUAUUGUGACACACUCGCCAUCUUUUGUGCCAGCAUUAUUUGGGUGAUGAUUUAAUAUCCAAAAGCAUACAUCAAGGUAGUUAUGUGCAAUGAUAUUCUUGUGAAAAUAACUUCCAUAGUGUAUACUUGCAUAUAUGUAUUGCUCUAUUGUAUUCUCACACUUAAUCCUUUUUCUUAAUUUUUUGUUUGCUUAUUUAUGUUUAUAGCAAGAUUAUAAAUUAAGCUGAGCAUAAUUUCUGCAGAUUAUAGAUGGCCCACUAAAAGACAAAGGGCGAAGGUGCAAACUUCAAGUAAUUCUUCUUGCCACAUAGGUUUUUCUAAUUGUGCGAGCAUACCACUUGUAACUGCCUUCAGUCAUCUAUGUCAGUAGUAUUUUGAGAAGAAUUUCAUUACAAAAUGCAACGACUCAAACAAUCAGAUUGUUCAUGAUGAUUCCUAAUUGUAUAACCAAUAAGCUUAACACACCUUCCUAUUUUAGAGUUGUUAUCUUAAUAAGUAUAUAUUAUCUGUUAUAAUGUUGUUGUUGGGUGAAGAACAUUUGUUGCUCAUGGUUAGAAUGCAGAAUUUUCUUAACACAACAACCUAGAGCGAAUGUGGAGGCCAAUAUAGAUUGAAACCAUUAAUUCAUAUUAAAAUGGUCAUGACUUCUUAUUUUUAUUUGACAUAAAUGUUUGUGACUUGUUUGAAUUAAUGUGUUCUGCAAUUAUAUGAUACUUCCAUAUUCAUACUAUUUUUAUGAAAUGUGCAGCUAGUUUGUCGACAGGAGCACGAACAACCACAACUUCUACAAAGCUUCCACAUGGUUUCAUUUAGUAUCAUGCAAAAGACAUUGAGACAAUCAAGAUUACUUGAGCAACCUGAAUUAUGUUAGUUGUUACCUGCUUUCAAACGAAUCUGUCCUCUCAUAGUAUGCAUGUACUUCUGUUGUUGAGGAAUUUAUAUCAUUAGACAUUUAUGUUUUUCAUAAUUAUUGAUUAAUGGGUACAUACCUUCAAUCCUAGAAGAUUAUCAGAUAGCCAGUCAAGGAAGCAAUUUGUUUAUUGAAUUGGGCAUAAUAGGAACAUUAUUACAUUAAAGGAACAUCAUAGGAAUAAUUUGGUAUUUCGAGAAGAUUUUCCAGUCCCCUGCCCCAACCUACUGGAGACAGUAUGAGUGGUGACAGACACAUUUGUAACAUACGAGCAAGCUAGUGCAGCAGCUUCAGUCACAUGCUCUAGAAGCCCAUUUUGGGUCUUCCUUCAGAAGGCUCAACAAGGCCAUCAUCACACCAUUCUAGUUAGUUACUUCUGCAACGAUAUAUGUCCGUAAGAAAAUAAGAAGCUAGGGUUCUAGUAGACUUAUAGUGCUCUAACAGCACCACGUUGGAUAUGCCCGCACAAAUAAAAUAACAUGAAUUGAGUCUAUAUGUAAGAACAUAUCUUGUCACCAGUCAACUACUAGUACAGUAAGAGCAUCAAAGAGGAAUUCAUUUCAUAUAGAAUAGUCGCAAUCAUAUACUUUUGUUCUGCACAUACUGCUCAUUAUCAUGGACAAUGAUGUAGCUAGCUAAAAGGGAGCAUGUGGCUAUAAUGUAAGCAGGGAGGCUCUAGGGACGAGCUCAACAGACAGACCUAACCUGCUCUUGCAAGGAACCAGUAAGCCUUGCUACAUUGUCACCUGCAUGUUGCAUGGCAUCGCGUCCACCAGCUAUUGUGGUAUGUCGCAACUCUUUCCUCACAUCUUUUCACCGAAGCGAUCGUUGGCGAAUUCUAAUCUUUCUGGAACAACAUUCCUAAUUCCCUGCACUAGAAGGUCAUCAUGAUACAUCGGUACAUCGGAAUUCCGGACACAUUAACAAAAUCUUUGCCCAAAUCAAAUUAAGGGAGAAAUGAGAAAUGAAGGAGAGAACCAAAUAGUAAGUUAGAUUAUAUAUAUAUACAUACAUAUAUAUAUAUGACAUGGAUACACUUCCGGUUGUUUUUACUAUGAACGAUAUAUAUNNNNNNNNNNNNNNNNNNNNNNNNNNNNNNNNNNNNNNNNNNNNNNNNNNNNNNNNNNNNNNNNNNNNNNNNNNNNNNNNNNNNNNNNNNNNNNNNNNNNNNNNNNNNNNNNNNNNNNNNNNNNNNNNNNNNNNNNNNNNNNNNNNNNNNNNNNNNNNNNNNNNNNNNNNNNNNNNNNNNNNNNNNNNNNNNNNNNNNNNNNNNNNNNNNNNNNNNNNNNNNNNNNNNNNNNNNNNNNNNNNNNNNNNNNNNNNNNNNNNNNNNNNNNNNNNNNNNNNNNNNNNNNNNNNNNNNNNNNNNNNNNNNNNNNNNNNNNNNNNNNNNNNNNNNNNNNNNNNNNNNNNNNNNNNNNNNNNNNNNNNNNNNNNNNNNNNNNNNNNNAUACAUAUAUAUACAUACAUACAUAUAUAUACAUACAUACAUAUAUAUAUAUACAUACAUAUACAUACAUACAUAUAUAUAGAUACAUACAUAUAUAUAUAUAUACAUACAUACAUUUCAUAGUAAAAACAACCGGAAGUGUAUCCAUGUUGUUUGCUUAGGAAUCAAGGUCCUAUUCACUGGGAUGAUAAACCUACUAAAUAAAAGGGUUCUCAAAGUCCCUUCAGAACUAGAGUCGAGUAACACAGUCAUGGUCCCAUGGGGUUUCAGGAUAACGACAUGCAAAUGUGGUUAACACAAUCAGCUCUCUCAUUAAGAUUUGUCUUAUUUUUUAUCACUACGGGAAAAUUCAUGUUUGCCGAGUGUUAGUGUCUUUGUUGAGUGCAUUAUGUUGGGCACUCGGCAAACAUAUCUUUGCCGAGUGUAAUCCUGAAACAUGGUAAACAUGUGCUUUGCCCACUGCCGUGGAAAAAAACUCUGGCAAAAAAGUUAUAGUUACUAAAAGGUGCUUUGUUGAGUGUCUUGGAAAUAACUCUCGUCAAAAUAGUAGAACUCGGGCAAAGAUGUGCUUUCCCGAGUGCUACACUCGGCAAAAGGGGGUAUGCACUGUGCUCACUGUUUUGGCUGUCGAGAUUGCAUACAACCUCGGAUGAAGAUGAUCCAAAAAUCAAAGUUUUUCAUUUCGACAAGAUGAAUAGUUUUCAUGUUGAGGACCUUUUCAUUUUAGGCCAUAUUAUUUACACUUUUUGCCAUGCCAAAAUAUGGUCCCAAAUGAAUAAGGCGGUGGUCAUAUUUAUUGCAUAGUUUAUGACUAUGGGCCUAACCUUGGCAUUUAUGUGCAUCUUGCCAUUACAAACAAUUUUGCCAAAUAGAGUUUCCAACAUUUUGUACAAAAAUAAUUUUUUUAUUUUUGAAGCGUAAAAAAUUGAUACUUUUGGAAGCUGGUAAAAAAAUAGAGUGCAAAAUGGCAUCACUCCAAUUUUCACAAAAAUAGACCAUGCUUUUUUAGAAAAUUCCCAUUUCUUGUGGAUUUUCUAGAUUUCUAGCUACUUUCACACAUUUGUAUGACUUUAUUAUGAUUCCGCAAAAUUAAUUCAAUUUGAACUGUAAUUGUGUGAUAGCUCUGUCCUAGAAAUUUGUAAAAAAUACUUUUAGGUACACAAGUAGUCAUUACCUGGAAAACCCACUUAGAGUUUGAGAGAUUCAACCCCUUACAUGAAUAGCCAUGCCGGCCACUUUCACCCCGUUUUGGAAAAAAUGAAACAAAAAGGAUACAAGUUCAAAAAAUGCAAUCCUUUCAUAUGGACUCCUUUUAUGUGUACUAGUGUGGAUGAAAAUACCAAACUUUCAAUAUGACAGUUUUCAAAGAAAAAUAUCCUUCGCAAAUGGGCUAUCCUCUAUGAACAUUCAUGGCUUUCAAGUCAAUGACCAAGGUGAUGACCAUAUUCAUUGCAUAGUUUAUUAUAAUGUGCCUAAAUUAGACAUAUAGGUGAACCUUGCCAUUACAAAUAAUGUUGCAAAAUAGAGUUUCCAACUUUUUUGUUCAAAAAAAAUCAUUUUCUAUUUCAGUGUAAAAAAUGGGUGUUUUUUGUGAAGCAGGUACCAAAAACAGGGUACAAAAUGGCACCACUCCAAUUUUCACAAAAAGUAGACCGUAUUUGAUGGACAAUUCCCAAAGUGUGUAGAUUUAUCUCUUAAAAUUUAUCAAUUGGUGUAUUUUUUAAUAUUUAAUGAAAAUAUUAUAUGUAUUUUUAAUAGGAAGGGCGGAUAUUUAAAGGAUAGCAUAGACAUCUGAGGGUGUACGUUAAAGCAUUGGAGGUACCUUUAUGUGCCAGUUUACGCCAUGCUCAACCGGCAAUGUGGUAGUAUUAAUUAGUAUAUACUUUUGAUUGUAAAAGAAAUCAAUAUAUAAUUUGUUUGGAUUAUUUUAGUUUGCAGUGCAAAUUUAAAAUGGAUUUAUUUAGCCUAUUUUUGUGAAAUCACUAAUUAGGAGGUACCUUUUGCAAAGGUCACACCCCACUUUCAUUAGUGCUGAUAGGUGGCACAUGGCAUGUGUGUCCCUUGUCACAACAUGGGAAUUUCCCCCUUUUUGUAGAUUCAUUUUUUAAAAUCUUUUAUCUCUUGAACCGCGCAUUCAAAUCACGACCCAUUUUUAUCGUUGGAUUUCUCGCGCUGAGAUCUUGAAACUAGUCGCGUGUUAAUAAGUUCCGAUGAACUUUUUCUUCACGAAAAUCAAAAAUCAAAAAAAUAUGAAAAUAAAAAAUACAGAAAGCAAAAAAAGAAAAAAAACCUAAAAUCAGGGUUGUGCUUUUUUACAUUUUUGGGAAGAAAAAAUGUGCUUUCCCCUUUUGGGAAACACGGUUUUGCUUCUUGUGCAAGCAUAGGUCGUGCUUUUCCCUUUUCAAGAAGCAUAGGCCAUGCUUCUCUUGUUCUCCGGGAAGCACAUAUGUGCCUUUCCUUUCGGGGAGCACAGUUUUCUCUUUCGGAAAAGUAUAGAUGUGUUUUUCCCUUUUCAGAGAAGCACUACCUAUGCAUUUCACCGAAGAACGUGCUAUGCUUUUCCUUUUUUGAGGAAGUAUAGUUGUGCUUUCCCUUUUUUACAUGGAAGCAAAAAUUGUGCUUUCUUCCUUCUCGAGAAGCUAUGCUUCCCGCGGAAAAGCACAGCCUCAUGAAAAAACAUAAAAAUGAAUUUUUUUCAUAAAAACCUAGGGAAAACCAAGAAAAAAAGAAAACAUGUGUAAAAAAAUCUAAGCGUGUACCCAGUGCACGACACGUGGCGGCAAUUGGACGCAUCACUUGAUGCGCUCUCAGGUCCAAAAAGUAGCCUCUGUGGAAUCCCCCGAUGAGAUACCCGUUAGAUAGUUGGAGACCUCCUUGCAUCAAAUAGGAGGGUGGCCACAAAGGGGGCGCGUCCUGGUGGGCCGGCCCAGCAGCGUGCUACACUCUAGCGCAAAUUGGUCAAAAUCUAAAAAGUGAUGUGUGAUCAAAGCGCGCAUGGCUAGCCACUCAAGCUAAUGAAUCUCUGCUAACUACUAGGUCGUGUUGAACUUUAAAAAGUACUAUAUGAUACCCCGCGCGUUGUUGCGGGAACUCUUAGUACUUUACAUGAAGAAGCUUGUGGACUGAAAAUAAUUAAAUGAUGAAAAUAUACACUUUUUAAAACCUUUGGUGGUACUUGUAGGAACAUUAUGGAGUGAAAAUAAGUUAACAAUUAAUAUAUUUUUGAACCUUUGAUGGUAUUUUGAGAAUCAUGAGAGAAAUGGUAUAUUAGGAUAUCUCUGUCUUUAUGUAGUUAGAACGCGUCACCCUUUAGCGGGAAAUUAAAUGCAUCACUAACAUUAAAAAAUAAAGCAUAUAGUUUGAUGGGAAUUUCACUGAAAACAUGGCCAGCCAAGUCUAAAGCUGAAUAUUACACUGAACAGAGAGCCCAAUCAUUUCCUAACACAAAAGCACUAAUCUUGUUGAGUUAUUUGUAAUAUAGGAGCAGAAUCCCUUCGAAAGAGAAAUUCCAAAAUAUUAAAAAGAUCCAACAGUAAGACAUCCAUACACCUUCAGUUUAUACAUGGCGACAAGCUACAUACCAAUCGCUAAAAAAGGUGAAUAUAGAGUCAUGCACAUCAGGCCCUCAUGGCAUAGAUGCAUUUCUUCCACUAAAAGGACAUGCCUUAAGGGGAUUGGUGUAGGUGUGAAGAUCUGGACAUAUAAAUGGCAAGAAUGACUUCAUCUUCCUGCCCCUUCUGUGGAAACAGAGGCCCGACUUCAAUUGGGAUCCGUCGGCAUGUUGCUCCCUCUUCAUAAAAUGGAGCUGAUUGUUAUCUAAAAGCAAGCUAGGUAGAUUUGGCAUGGCCAGCAGUAGUACUUGCUACUUUGCCAGUUGUGAUGCAAGGAAGGUUGCGUGCUGCCAUGGCCGGACCCUUUGGGGUGCCAAAUGGUGUUCAAAUUUAUAGUAGGUUCCAUUUUUGGUGGGAAUCCAAGGAAAAGAAGGCAAUGGAGUAAGAUGACAACCCAUUCCCAGACUGCCACUCAAAAUCAAAAUGAAGAGGGUAAAUAAAUGUACUUACUAAGAACACACGGAUAACAUACAGCUGGCUACAGAAACAGCCAAACUUUGUAAGUCCACGGAAAUUGAGGAAAUUGUGAAAACUAUUUCUGUGAGUAGAAGGAAAUGUAGUCCAGUUACCUUUCAUGGUAAUGCUUCUCUUGAGCCGAUUCUCAGGAUCCCUGAAGAAUGUCUUUUGUUUUCCCGAAGCAGGAUUCCUUGCUAGAGCAGUACCUUUUGUUCUCUUGAGUUAAGGCAGAGUGGGAAAUACAUCACUAUCAGCUCUAGUUCAAUUGCUUGUAUUUUACAAAAACAUACAAUUGAAACAAUUAUCAGGAAAAGUUAUUACCUUAAUCGCAGCAACUCUUUGAGCAUGCAAUUUGGCGUCUUGGUGUAUAAUCUUCAUGUGUAAACAAUUUGUUUUAGCAUCUAGACUCUAUAAUUAAAAUUAAUAAGCUCUUUAAAAGCCGAAGGCAACUAUAUAGACCAAUACAAUUAAACAAAGGCAGCGGGUAGGUUUCAAAUUUGAAGUAGCAGGGAUCCAUAGUUAACUCUCCAUCAUGCAGGCAUUUAGUGUAGUAGAUACAAGACAUACGUGUGACAGAUUGCAUAUGAACAACAUUUAUUAGUAGGAAAAUUGUACUACCGUAUAUUGCACUAACACUAACUAUAUGAAGAAGCCAAUAGCAUGUAAUUUCAGCUUGCAAGAAAGCACCACUUACUCUUAUAGAUCGGCUAAUCUACAUGGCAACUUCCGAGGAUGGUGAUGGAUAAGUACAGUUGGAUCGUUUUUAGGUGUUAAUCUAUUAUUAUAAAAAUCAUCUUCCUUUACUUUCAAGGGAGAACUCUAGAGGGGAAAGAACAACAUUUUUUAAUUUAAUGAUCCAUCACUUAUUCACAACUAUUGCAAUAACCAAGUAUGUUGGAUGCAAGGAGGAGGUGAGAGUGCAGGCAACAGGUAUGUCACAUCAUGCGAACAGGUGGGGAUCAUGUUAAGUCAAUGCAGAAGGAUGCGUUGUGUGUCCGCGCACCGUCAACACUACUGAGUAAAUAGUAAACUAAACCUGGGGACCAGCGUUCUUGACCUUCCUAGCUACUUCUGGCAUAGGGGGAAUAUUUGAGGAUUUAUAGUGCUGACAUUAGGGUUAGGAGNNNNNNNNNNNNNNNNNNNNNNNNNNNNNNNNNNNNNNNNNNNNNNNNNNNNNNNNNNNNNNNNNNNNNNNNNNNNNNNNNNNNNNNNNNNNNNNNNNNNNNNNNNNNNNNNNNNNNNNNNNNNNNNNNNNNNNNNNNNNNNNNNNNNNNNNNNNNNNNNNNNNNNNNNNNNNNNNNGUGUCUUCUGGCCUCCUCCCGAAGCUUCCUAGGUUUCUUCUGGUCCAAGAAAAAUCAUCGUAAAGGUUUAUUCGUUUAGACUCCGUUUGAUAUUCCUUUUCUGUAAAACUCAAAAACAAGAAAAAAACAGAAACUGACACUGGGCUCUGGGUUAAUAAGUUGGUCCCAAAAAUAAUAUAAAAUAACAUAUUAAUGCAUAUAAAUCAUCCAAAAUAGGUAAUAUAAUAGCAUUGAACAACCAAAAAUUAUAGAUACUUGGAGACGUAUCAGGAUCAUGUUAAGUCGAUGCGAAAGGAUGCAUUGUGUGUCCGCGCACUGGAUGCUUGCAUUUAUAUGGUUCUAUCAGCGUCGCCGAAUAAACUAAAUCUGGGGAUCGGUGCUCUUGACCUUCCCAACUACUUCAACUGGAAAUCAGAUACUCCAUGCCAAAUAAGAAAGACCGUUCAGGUCGUGCUGAUAGAGAGGAAAGAGACCACUCACCUCCGACAAUGGCACGUGUGGCUCGCCUGAAGGUCGUUGGGUUGAAUCCACGGUGUUGGGCUAGCGUAGCACCCAUUGGCGGCAAUCAUGGGGCUCCAAGAUGGCGUCACCGUGUAGAUGUCUGGUGUUGUUGGCCAUAGACGGUUUUGUCAAAGGCGACACAUUAUGGAAAGAUGGAGAGAUAAAAGAGGGGAGGAGAAGAACCAGGAAGACAAUAGAGAUUUAUUGGUGAAGGGGAGAUGAACGGAAUCAUCGGGCGAAGAGGUGAUGGCUCGUGUCCGCAUUAGUAUUUUCCCCAAAGAGGAAGGGAUGAUGCAACACAGCUACGAUAGGUAUUUCCCUUAGUGAUGAGACCAAGGUUAUCGAACCAGUAGGAGAACCACGCAACACUAUGUAAACGGUACCUGCACACAAAGAACAAAUACUUGCAACCCGACGCGUAAGAGGGUUUUCAAUCCCUCCCGGUAAAAGAUAGAUUGGUUUCUAGUAGAUUGGAUAAAUAGAUCUCGCGGAAACGCAAAAUAAAAUAAAUAACAAAAAAUUGCAUCAAGGUAUUUUUGGGUUUUUAGAAUAAUAGAUAUCUAUACCUACUAAUAAAAGAAAUAGGUAUUCUUCGUCCGUCAUGCUAUUUUGUAGAAACCCCCCUGAUGUUUCUGACAUUAAACCCGCAGUACAUAUCAAGUGCUUUUUAAAAUACUCAUAAUUAUAAACCAUAACUCCAAAUUUAACAUAUUAUAUAUGGAAUUUAAUUAGAAAAUUAUGUAGAAUCUAAAUAUGAUGUUAUUUUACCUGUUAACAAUUUUUAAAAUAAACUAUCUAGGAUGCAAUGUUAAUCAACAAUGCAUUAUUCGUCUUUUUUAUACCGGUAUUGAUUUAGAUUGGGGAUGAAAACCUCAACAAAAUCAGGAUUGGACAUUAGAUUGAAGAUAAAUUUGUUAGAGACACUGAAUAAAUAUGGGCAUGCAUGACAAGAAAUAAAAAGAUCCAAUAAAGAUGGGAUGUCCGCUAUAAAAAUAAAUAAAAGAGAAAAUGCAGAGGAGAUCCGAUAAAGAUGAGAUGUUGCGCUAUUCUCCUAUAUAUAAGAAGAGCAAAAGGAGGACAUGCAUGAAAAAAGGUAAAAAGGAGGCAUGCAUGAAAAAAAAUACAAGUUUUAUAAGAAAUAAAUAGUGAUUGAAACAGGGACCAAUACUAAUGACAUGUAUGGCAAGAAAUAGUGAUGAAAUAGGGGCGCAAGUACCUGAGUCAACAGGAGACCAUAAAAAUGUUCUUUUCCAGACCAAAAAACCUAUUUUAUAAUUAAAAAAUCUUGUACCUUUUUAACAACCUUUUUAACUCUUCAUGUAUUUAAGAAAUAGCUACAAAUUCUCGGAUUAUAAAACAUUUUUUGUAAAUUAAGAGCGUGUGGUACUUUUUCCCGUCGCAACGCACGGGCCUUUUUGCUAGUGAAAAUAAAAGAGGCAAAUAAUAGAUCGGAAAGCAAAUAUGAUAAAGAAUAGACCCGGUGGCCGUAGAUUUCACUAGUGGCUUCUCUCCACAAAAAUAGCAUACAGUGGGUAAACAAAUUACUGUUGGGCAAUUGAUAGAACUUAAAAUAAUUAUGAAGAUAUCCGGGCAAUGAUCAUUAUAUAGGCAUCAUGUCCUAGAUUAGUAGACCUACUCCUUCCUGCAUCUACUACUAUUACUCCACACAUCGACCGCUAUCCAGCAUGCAUCUAGUGUAUUAAGUUCAUGGAAAAAUGGAGUAAUGCAAUAAGAAUGAUGACAUGAUGUAAACAAGAUCUAUUCAUGUAGGAAUAGACCCCAUCUUGUUAUCCUUAAUGCAACGACCAAUAUGUGUCUUGCUGCCCCUUUUGUCACUGGGAAAGAACACCGCACGACCGAUCCCAUCACAAAGCACCUCUUCCCAUGGUAAGAAAAAUCGAUCUAGUCAACCUAACUAAACCAAAGAUUCGAAGAAGAAUACGAGGCUAUAAGUAAUCAUGUGUCUAAGAGAUCAAAACUCAAAUAACUUUCAUGUAUAAAAUAGAUCUGAUCAUAAACUCAAAGUUCAUCGGAUCCCAACAAACUCACCGCAAAAAGAGUUACAUCAAAUAGAUCUCCAAGAGACCAUUGUAUUGAGAAUCAAAAGAGAGAGAGGAAGCCAUCUAGCUACUGCCUACGGACCCGUAGUUCUACAAUGAACUACUCACGCAUCAUCGGAGAGGUACCAAUGAGGAUGAUGAACCCCUCUGUGAUGGUGUCUAGAUUGGAUCUCAUGGUUCCGGAACUUGCGGCAGCUCGAAUUGUGUUUCGUCGAAUCCCCUAGGGUUUUUGGAUUUUCGGGGUAUUUAUAGAGCAAAAAGGUUGUGCGGGAGGGCACCGAGGUGGGCACAACCCACCAGGGCACGCCUGGGCCCCUAGGUGCGCCCAGGUGGGUUGUGUCCCCUGGGGGCACCCCUCUGGUACUUCUUUGGCCCAAGUUGUUCCUUCUGGUCUAGAAAAAUUCUCCAAAAAGUUUCGCUGUGUUUGGACUCAGUUUGGUAUUGAUUUUCUACGAAGUAAAUAACAAGCAAAAAAUAACAACUGGCACUGGGCACUAUGUCAAUAGGUUAAUAAAAUGAUAUAAAGUUGCUAUAAAAUGAUUGUAAAAUAUCCAAGAAUGAUAAUAUAACAGCAUGGAACAAGCAAAAAUUAUAGAUACGUUGGAGACGUAUCAAGAGGCAAUAAGAGGAAGGCGCGGCAAUCAGUUCGACGGUAGUAAAAAAUUACGCGAUUCGUUUCGUUGAAAAGGGAAAAAGGAAGCAUUGGUGACGUGGCAGAUUUUCUUACGUGGAUGGCUGCAUGUUGAUUGCUGAUGUGGAUAGGCUACAUGUCAAGAGAAAUACGGUACUGCGGAUGAACUAUUUAGGUAUUAUAGAUGCGCAACAUCACAUCUAAACUCUUUAUGAAAUUACAAAACACGAUGGUUUUUAAAAUGGAUAUAUUUUGGAACCCAAUUUUUUUAAAUUUAUGAAUAAAUUUUUGAAAACUUGAACAAUUUCUUGAGUCUAUGAACAAUUUUUUGAACACGAACUUUUUUUCAAAAUUUCAAAAUGCAAUUAUUUUUUUAAUGCAACCUUUUUCAAAAUUCAAAAACAUGAUUGUUUGUAAAGUGAAUAUGUUUUUAAAAUUCUAGACUAAAUUUGCAAGUUGAAUAUUUUUUGAGAAACACUCGAAAUUGUGGACGUUUUCUAAAACGACAAAGAACUUUGAAAAACAUCAAACAUUUUUCAAAUCACGGAUUCUGGGAAAAAAAACAAAUUCCAAACAUAUUUUAGAAAUUUUGUAUUUAUGAAAAAAGAAAAAGAAACAGAAAAUGAAAAAAGAAAGAAAGCAAGGAAAAGCAGUGAAGAAAUAAAACAGAAAAAAGGAAAAAACCUGAAAAUAGUGGUAAAGACUGAUCCUAGCUACUUGGGCUGGUCCAUCUAUGGUUUACUCGCUGCUCAUUUCGGAGAUUUCUUUUAGGGGUAAAACCAAGUUUUAUACAUCAAAAACCAUAGAGUGUGGGAUAGAGUUUGGGUCAUGGCAUUUUCCAAAGCAAACAUUGCGUCCCAGACCUAACGAAAGAGAAAACCUGCCUAGAUUAUGUGCUUCGACAUUUACAGAAUGAUCUUUAGAUAAAAAAAUACAAUGAAAUAAAUACGGUUGCAACUUGAUCUCGUUGAUAAUGGCUCGUUUCCACAUAGUUUGCUCACACUUUUGAGAGAAAAUUUAGCCUUGAUGGGCUGGGAAAUUGGGCCAGCCAUCCUCAAGUGUGACUGGCUUGUCUUUGUCUAGUAUAAAUCCCAUCACGUUGCCCAAGAGCCCACCCUUAUCUAUUUUUCUACAGGACCCAUAUGUGUUUGGUUCCUUCAGCACGAUGGGCCGCCUCCCAGCCUCCCUCGCCCGCUCGAUAGCUCCCCCGCCAAUAGAGUUAGGCCCUCGACCCUCCCCCACCCCAAGGUUGCGAGCAUGUCCCUUCCCGACAUCUCUUCCACACGGCCUCGUCCCACCCCAUGUUCUCCCCCAAGUGCUUUGUCGAGUGUCGUGGAAAAAUAUUCUUGGCAAGAUAGUGGAACUCACGCAAAAUGUGCUUUAUCGAGUGCUACACUCGGCAAAAGGGGGUAUGCAGGGAAGCAAAAUCGUGCUUUUUUUCCUUCUCGGGAAGCUGCGCUUCCCGUGGAAGGCUUCAUCAAAAACCAGAAAAAAAGAUUUUUUUUCAUCAAAACCUAGGGAAAAUAAAAGAAAAAAACACGUGUAAAAAUAAAAUCUUAAGGGUGUACCUGCACACGACAUGUGGCCGCAGUUGGGCACAUCACUUGAUGCGCUCUCAGGGCCUCAAAGUAACCUCUGCAGGAACCCUCGACAAGAAACCCAUCAGAUAGUUGGAGUCCCCCUUGCGUCAAAUAGGAGUGUGGCCACAAGGGGAGCGCGUCCUGGUGGGCCGGCCCAGUAGCCUGUAGCACUCUACCGGAAAUUUGUCAAAAUCUAAAACAUGACGUUUGAGCAAAGCUCGCAUGGCUAGCCAGUCAAGCUGAUGAAACUUUGCCAACUACUAUGUCGCGUUGAUCAGUAAAAAUUAUGUGCAACAUCACAUAUGAAAAAAAAUUGGAAUUUCAAAACACGAUUGUUUUUAAAAUGAACUAGUAAAGUGGCCCGCUCGAUGUGCGGGCUAGAUUUUUAAGUUUUUUUAAUAAUAUCAUAUUGUUUGAUUUGGCUAAAGAAAAAUUGGAACCCAAUAUGACGACUUUAUUGUGCGGGCUCAAUCUUUGAAUCGUUUAUUAUGUUUUAUGAUUGAAUUUCUUAUCUGUAGUAAGUCAAUACAUAAUUAUGACGACUUUAUUGUGCGGGCUCAAUCAAUAUUAUUAUUUACUGUUAUUCUUCUUAUUGUUAUUGUUAAAAAAACAAUGUUAAAGUCAACCCAUUUGAAAAAAACUAAUUUAAUGUAAGUAUAGUAUCUAAAGUCCUAGUAUAGUAAUUUCAUUUUAAUUUAAUUUUAUUGUAUUCUUCCAUUUUGAAAAUGUAUUUUUAUUAUGAAUCUAGCACUUUAGUUAAAAUACAAAUAAAAGUACUACAUUACUGAUCCCAACAUUAAACAAGAAUGUGUACAUAAACUUGUCUUUAUCAUCGAUGAAUUACAACCAGAUCAUAUGUUUAAAUAAUGGAUAUUUAUAUUAUGAAUCAACCAAGCAUAGUUCUUUUGAUCUCGUAGAUUGUGAUUUUCCAAUAGUGUCUUGUCUUUUUGUUUAUGUGCAAAUAAUAGUUCACCUAUCAUAUUUUACGAGAAUGGGAAACAAAUAUAAGAAAUAGAACUGAAAGAAUUAUAUGGACGUCUAUUCUUGGAAAAUUGUUUAUGGUGUCACCAUCUCGUUCACGUGUGAGUAUGCAAUCUAAUUUCUAACAUGGCAUUCUUUCAUGCGUGAAGAAAUUUCAAGUUAUCACAACGCGACAUGAGUUCGAUAGAAUAUUAACUCAUUCGAAAAAAAAGAUAUGUACAUACAAAACUAAUGAAGUAACUUCAGUAAAAAUUAAUAUGUUACCCAAGAUUUUGAGGGACUGUGAUUUUGAAGGGGUAUUACAUUUUUGUAAUGUUAACUUGACACAUUGGUGAGAAACACAAUUCGAAUAGAAUACACUAAAGCUGAGAAAACAGAACUUUGUUGAACAAUAAUUAACCGGCUAAGAACUUACAAUGUAUCAUGCCUUUGCUGUUAACAACUAUAUGCAGCAGUAUUUUUUUUAUAUUUAUAAUUAUCACUCAAACUAACUUUUUAGAAAGCAUACUAAUUAGUUAGAUAUUCAGGGAUGCAUUGAUAACAGUAAUCGCUAUCGUCUAGCCUUGCCUCCUGUCUGAUGCACUACAAGCAAAGGAUUCAAAACUACGUUUUCCUGUAAUGUAAAACAAUAAUACUUCAUGGAGAUCAUGUUUGCAUGUGCAUAUGGAAUUCAUCAAUAGUAGGUAGAAAAGUCCUAGCUAGCUUAGCUUAGCUUAGGAUAACGCCCUGGCAUCUAAACUGCUUCAUAUAUGCAAUCCAAUUGUAUGGGUCAAAUAUACAAAACCUGAAGCUCAUGGUCUAGAUGUUUCAUUGAUAAUAUCAUUUCCACCAGACUGGCGACCGAUUAUACAGUAGUCUACCUGUAUUGUUUAACACUGAGAUACCGCAUCAGCCAAAUCAUAGCACCUGAGGUGCCUCUUCUAGUGGACGGUGAGAGCAUAUCUGUAAUAAUCAUCCUUUGUAUAACAUUAUUUAUACCUCCAAAUGUUGCACCACACAUGUUCAUCUUUAGAGUCAAGCCCUAUUGCAGCGCAGGUUGUGCUUGGCCAGCACCUUCGUGAUGAACUUGCCAGUGACCACAGUGCAAGCAACUACCAGUACCCAGGAAGCCUCGACGAAGCCAAUGACGUACUGCUCUAUUUCGCGCCGGUGCCAUGUGGCCCACUUGUUUCCCUGAGCAUGUCGGUAUCGACAAAGGAACGAUAGUCGCUAGAUUAAAGGGAAGUGAGAUGGAAAGACACACUCGAGGAGGAAGAUGUUUAGGACUAUGUAUUUGCAUACUCUUUUGGAUCAAGGACGUGGGAUGUAAGUACGGUGUUUGCCUUUUUUUUCUUUCUCUUUUUAGCUUUGAAGGGAUGUGUACAUGUUUUUUUUAUGUCUACAUGCUUGAUUUUUUUUCCUCUGGAGGGAUAUGUACUUGUUUGUAUUUUUAAAAGGUUGGGGGAUCAUNNNNNNNNNNNNNNNNNNNNNNNNNNNNNNNNNNNNNNNNNNNNNNNNNNNNNNNNNNNNNNNNNNNNNNNNNNNNNNNNNNNNNNNNNNNNNNNNNNNNNNNNNNNNNNNNNNNNNNNNNNNNNNNNNNNNNNNNNNNNNNNNNNNNNNNNNNNNNNNNNNNNNNNNNNNNNNNNNNNNNNNNNNNNNNNNNNNNNNNUAUAUAUGUGGGAUAUGUACGUGCUUGUAUUUUUAAAAGGCUGGGGAUCAUUCAUUUUGUACGCACUUGUUUUUGUUUCAAAUGUAUAUACGUGCCUGAUGGAUAUGUGUGGGGACGUUCUUUUUUUUUCCAUGAUGGAUGAACGAUGUGGGAUGUGUAUUUUUUUAUAUCUGGGGGGUACACUCUUUUUUAGUGUCCACCGGGUUAUGAAGAUCUAAGGCCUAUGAUUUAUUAGUACAGAGAAGUUCUAUUAAAUCAACCAUCGGAUACUUCUGAUUUUUAUAGAAUUUUUGAUCAUAUUUCUCUUUGUUAGUUAACCUGCUAUUUACUUUUAAUAUAUAGUAGAUACUAUAUAUGCAGUACGUGACCAUGUAUGAGUUUGUGAGGGAUUCUCUAUAUACACAUAUGUGCGUUUGUUUUUUCCUUAUGGAACAGAUGUGCAUGCACGUGCUUUCCAAUUAACAUGGUAGGCUUGCCAAAAAAAUUAACGUGAUUCCUCACGCAACAUCUUUUUUUAUAGAAGAGCUCUGACAACCGAAUAAUCCAGGCUUUUUUUCUAGAUUGGAAAAUAUCUACGUGGGACAUGUGCCACGUAAAUCCUUAGAGGCCCAUCAUAUUAUAUAUGUUACGUAAAUUGAACGGUCACGUAAUCUUAAUUUUAAGAGAUUUACCGGAUCGAGGGUUAUUAUUUUCUAAUUAAUGUGGAAUUUUAUAACCUAUUUCUCUCCCUUCUGGUUCACCGUAUAUUACUUUUAGUAUAUAAAAUAGAUGGUUUUUGGAACAUGGACUUUUUCCAAAUUUAUGAAUAAAAUUUGAAAACUAGAGCAAUUUUUGACUAUAUCAAGGUUUUUUUCAAACACAAACUUUUUUUGAAAUUUUAAAACACGAUUAUUAUUUUAAUACAACCUUUCUUAGAUUUCAAAACACGUUUUUAAUGAAUAUUUUCUUAAACCCUACCAAAAGUUGAAAAUUUGAACAUUUUCAAAAACACUCCGAAGUGUGGACAUUUUCUAAAAAACGUGAAAGGAUUUAGGAAAACUUCAAACUUUUUCAAAGCACGAAUAAUUUUUGGGAAAAAUGAAACAAAAUCAAAUUCCGAACAGUUUUUGAACAUUUUUUUAGAAAUGUUGAAUUUAUGAAAAAAAAGGAUAAAUUAUGAAAGAAACGAAAAUCGGUGAAGAAGAAAACAAGAGAAGGAAAAAAACUAAAAAAUAGUGUAAGAAAAAAACACCAAUACUAGCUACUUGGGAUGGUACAUAUGCGGUUUGCUCACUGCACAUUUCCUAAAAUUUUUUAGGGGUAAAAGCAAGUUUUAAUCAUCAAACACCAUAGAGUGUGGGAUAGAGUUGGGGUCGUGGCAUUGGUUAAACCCAACGCGGCGUCCCAGACCUAACGAAAGAGAAAGACUGGCUAGACUAUGUGCUUCGACAUUGAUAGCAUGACCUUUACAAGAAAAAUUACUAUCAAAUAAAGAUGGUUGCAACUUAAUCUCGUUGAUAAUGGCUCGUUUCCCACAUAGUUUGCUCACAGUUUUUGAGAGAAAAUUUAGCCUUGAUGGGCUGGGAAAUCGGGCCAACCAAUCUCAAGUGCGACCGACUCAUCUUUGUCCACUAGAAAGCCUGCCACGUCGCCCAAGAGCCAACCCUUAUCUUUUUUUUACAGGACCCGUAUAUGUUUUAUUCCUCCAGCAAGACCGGUCGCCGCCAAGCCUCUCUCGCCCGCUCGACAGCUCCCCCCGCCGCCGGGGCUAAGCCCUGGAUCCCCCUACCCCCAGGUUGCGAGCUUGUCCCAUCCCUCCCUCUCUUCUGCGUAGCCUCGCCCCACCUCGUCUUCUCCCCCACCGGUGCUUUGCCUAGUUUCUUGGAAAAAACUCUCGAUAAAAUAUUGGAACUCUGGCAAAAUGUGCUUUCCUGAUUGCUACACUCGGCAAAAGGGGGUAUGCACUGCACUGUUUUGGUUGUCCAUAUUGCAUACGACCUCGGAUGAAGAUGAUCCCAAAAUCAAAGUUUAUCAUUUUGACAAGAUGAUUAAUUUUCAUGUUCAGAACUUUUCCAUUUUAAGCCAUGUUAUUUACACAUUUGGCAAUGCCAAAAUAUGGUCUCAAAUGAAUAUGGCGGUGGUCAUAUUUAUUGCAUAGUUUCUGACAAUGGGCCUAAAGUUGGCAUUUUGUUGCAUCUCGCCAUUACAAACCAUGAUGCCAAAUAGAGUUUCCAACAUUUUGUACAAAACUAAUUUUCCCAUUUUCUAAGUGUAAAAAAUGGAUAUUUUGUGAAGCGGGUAAAAAAACAUAGUGCAAAAUGGCACCACCCCAAUUUACAUAAAAAGUAGACCACAUGUUUUAGAAAAUUCCCAGGUUUUGUGGAUCUUCUAGAUUUCUAGCUACUUUCGCACAGUUAAAUUCAAAUUUGAACUUUAAGUCUGUGAUAGCUUUGUCCUAAAAAUUAGCAAAAAUGUAAUCUAUUUUUUUAGGUAUGCAAGUAGUCAUUUUAUGAAAUCACCACUUAAGUUUGAGAGAUUCAGGCCCUUGCCGUGACUAUCCAUGCCGGGCAUUUUGACCCCGUUUUGGAAAAAUGAAACAAAAAGGAUACAAGUUCAACAAAAUGCAAUCCAUUCGUAUGGACUCCUUUUAUGUGUACUAGCUAGGACGAAAAUACCAAACUUCAAUAUGAAAACUUUGAAAGAAAAAUAUCCAUCACAAAACGGGCUAUCAUGUAUGAACCUUCACGGCUUUCAAGUCAAACGACCAAGGUGACGACAAUAUCCAUUCCAUAGUUUAUUAUAUUAUGCCCAAAUUAGACAUAUAGGUGAAUCAUGUCAUUGCAAAUAAUGUUGUAAAAUAGAGUUUCCAACUUUUUGUACAAAAAAUCAUUUACUAUUUUCUAAGUAUCAAAAAUGGGUGUUUCUUGUGAAGUGGGUUCAAAAAAUAGAGUGGAAAAUGGCACCACUCCAAUUUUCACAAAAAGUAGACCAUAUUAGAUGGACAAUUCCCAAGUUUUGUAGAUGUCUAGCUAAAAACUAACAAUUGGUGUAUUUUUUAAUAUUUAAUGAAAAUAAAAAAUGGGAAGGGCGGAUACUUAAUGGAUAACAUGGACAUCUGAGGGUGUACCUUUAAGUGUUGGAGAUGCCUUUAUGUGCUGGUUUAUGUCGUGCUCAACCUGCAAUGUACUAGAGUUAAUCAUGUUGGGUAACGGUGCAUGGAAAAACAAAAAAAAUCUAUGCACACGCAAUGAUCUAUCCAUGGAGAUGCAUAGCAACGAGGGGGAGAGUGUGUCUACGUACCCCCAUAGACCAAAAGCGGAAGCGUUUGACAAUGCGGUUGAUGUAGUCAAACUUCUUCUAGCUCCGACCGAUCAAGCACCGAACGUACGGCACCUCCGAGUUCUGCAUAUGUUUAGCUCGGUGAUGUCUCUCGUCUUCUUGAUCCAGCAAGACGUCGAGGAACUAGAUGAGUUCCGUCAGCACGACAGCGUGGUGAUUAUGAUGGUGAAGUGAUCCACGUAGGGCUUCGCUUAAGCACCGCGAGAAUAUGACCGGGGGUGUAAACUGUGGAGGGGGCGCCGCACACGGCUAACAAUUGAUGUUGUGUGUUCUAGGCGCCCCCUUCCCCACAUAUAUAUAGGUGGGAGGGGAGGGGAGGCAGCCAGGGGGCACCCCAAGUAGGAUCUGAAUCCUACUUGGGGUUUCCCCAAGUGACGCCCCCCCCCCUUCCUUUUUUCCACCGGAGAAGAAAGGAAGGGGGAAGAAGAGAAGGAAGGGAGGCUGAACCCCCUCUUCUCCUUCUCCUAUUUGGCCACUUGCCAUAGGGGAGGCGCGCCACCCCUUGUGGGCUGGUGUGAUCCCCUCUCAUGGACCAUAUGGCCCAUAUAUUCCCCCCUGGGGGUUCCGACAACCCACCCCCCCUCCCCCGGUACUCCUAUAAAUACCCGAUACAUUCGGGAACACUUCCGGUGUCCGAAUACUAUCAUCCUAUAUAUCAAUCUUUACCUCUCGACCAUUUCGAGAUUCCUCGGCAUGUCCAUGAUCUUAUCCGGGACUCCAAACAACAUUCGGUCACCAUAUCACAUAACUCAUAUAAUAUAAUAUCAUUAUCGAACGUUAAGCGUGCGGACCCUACGGGUUCGAGAACUAUGUAGACAUGACCGAGACACCUCUCCGGUCAAUAAACAAUAGCGGAACCUGGAUGCUCAUAUUGGAUCCUACAUAUUCUACGAAUAUCUUUAUCGGUCGAACCGUUAUGACAACAUACAUUAUUCCCUUUGUCUAUCGGUAUGUUACUUGCCCGAGAUUCGAUCGUCGGUAUCUGCAUACCUAGUUCAAUAUCAUUACUGGCAAGUCUCUUUACUCGUUUUGUAAUACAUCACCUUACUAACGGAUGGGUCUUGUCCAUCACAUCAUUCUUCUAAUGAUGUGAUCCCGUUAUCAAAUGACACCUCAUGUCCAUGGUUAGGAAACCUUAACUAUCUUUGAUCAACGAGCUAGUCAAGUAGAGGCUCACUAGGGGCAUAGUGUUUGUCUAUGUAUUCACACACGUAUUAAGGUUUUCGAUCAAUACAAUUCUAGCAUGAAUAAUAAACAUUUAUCAUGAAUAAGGAAAUAUAAAAUAAGAACUUUAUUAUUGCCUCUAGGGCAUAUUUCCUUCAAAUCAGUAUAUGUGUGCAUGCUUGGUUGUUAGUGAAAUGUUUUAUGUAUAUGUGUACAUGCUUGGUUGGGCCAACUUUGUGUAUUACAUUUUGUGAAAUACAAACUUGAUAUAUGCCACAUUUGUGUUAACGACCAAUAAGUAUAUACAUAACUAUAUUUUGCCUUCUUUUUCCUCCUCCACAAGAAAAGGUCCCACGCUUUUCUCCUCUCCAAUUGGCGCCGUAGCUGGUCCGCCCCAUCUUUGAUGGCCUUUGGGCCCUUUAGUACCGUACCGAACCAGCAGCCUUCGCGCCAAGCGACGACCGCCCUUGUCCCUUUCCUUUUUCCAUUCAGCCUACUUCUUAGCUUUGUUCCGUCAGUCUAAGGCAAAGCUUAAGUGGUUUGCCUACCUUACCCACUUGAUGAAAGGGAACGGACUUCAUUUCCUUGGUGGCUUUAUGGAUGGAUUCAGUCAGAAAAACUCCUUCCUUUUGAAAAAAGUGACACCACGAAGGUGAGUAGGACCUCAGGCCCUCGUUGGCGGGAGGGAACCUGCUCUCAUUCUUUUUUGGUUCAAUGUUUUGCUGGAGCUGUGUUGCGGCUAUGAUGUCUCUCAGUAGGAAUAAUGUUUCACAUGUUCUAUCCCUGUCUCGAUGGUGCCUCUAGCAUCAUCAUAGGGCAUGUGGAGGUGUGUCUCUAUCGGAUUUCGCAGGAUUCGGUCGGCAUUGGUCUUCGGUGGAUCUGUUUGGACACGGUCUAUGUUCAUCUUUGUGGUGUUUAUACUAUUGAUCCUUCCGAUCUAUGACUUUCUUCAUCGAUGAUGGUUGCUGCUUCGGUGCGCUGGUCCUUUGGGUCCUUAGCACGACAACUUCCUGACUAUUGACUACACCAAGGUUUGCCCNNNNNNNNNNCGAUGCACAGCUUUCUUUAGUGCUUGUAGUCAUCGCUAGGUGGUCCAUGGACCUGGUUGUAAUUUUUUGUAUCUCUGGUGUUCUUUGUACUGCCAUGAUUGAAGAUGAAUAGAUUGGAAGUUUCUCACGCAAAAAUAUUUAUAUAAAUAACUAUUUUAGCAAAAUUCGCAAAAAAGACUAUUUUAGCAAGUAAUAAAUUUUGACACCAAUUAUAUGGUAGUAAUUAAUAUUUCCCCUAAUAAUAUCCGCAUUGGAUCCAGGUUUUAUACUAUGUAUACAGACGGGAGUAUGUUUGGAUAAUUGUGUGAAUACAAGGAUAUAUCUUAGCAAAACUAUUUUUAGCAACAAGUAAAUGAAUUAAUAUAUGCUAGCUAUACUCUGCUGGUGAAAACAUGGUGUAUUAGUUGUACAAAGCAUGCAACACGGUUUCACUCCCCUUUAUAUUCCUGGGCGGAACACAAUUUCAGAUCCAAGUUUUAUGUUUGUCUACACACUCCCAUCUUCUUCCCAUAUCAGCAGGAAAAUUCACUCCAAUCAUCUCGCCAUUCUACACUUGGGAAAUCAGGUUUGCUUCAAUCUACCAUCCUUGAAUAUAUGCCCCACAUCUUGUUUCUGCGUCCUAAUCUUAUUAAGCUUGUAAUUAGUAGUUAGUGCAAGAUCAAAAAGGAGCUAUGGGCAAAACACCAUCCGCACCUGCUGAUAAAAUCACCAUAGGACAAGCGGCGCCUAAUCAUGAAAUAGCAGGAGAUUCAAGUGACAGUGAGAGAACAAUCAGUGAGGGUUAUGUGGGGAUCAUGUAUGGUGGUAGCCAAACCCACGAUGGCAACCUGGAAGGAGAAUCUGAUAUGGUAUUGCUAGCAACAGAUUCAAGUGACAGCGAGAGAACAAUCAGUGAGGGUUAUGUGGGGAUCCUGUAUGGUGGUAGCCAAACCCAAGAUGGAGACCUGGAGGGAGAAUCGGCUAUGGUAUUGCCUGCUGUAGGAGAGAAUACCACGGCGAGAUCUAACAGUCAUGGUCAUACGCGUAGCUUGGAAAUUGAUUCUACCUCUCGUACUGGGAGGCAUGCUGCCAGGUCAGAUUCUGUUCUAGUGGCACAACGCCGAGACUGCAUACAAAUUUACCCUGAGUGGCUGGAGAAAAUUGAUUCAGGCAAAAAGAUGUGGAUAGCUCUCAAAAAAUUUCGAGCAAAUGGGAAGCAUGAAGAGGUUAGUAUAUACACAUGUUCUGGUGUGCUCUCUCAUCAAAUAAUUUUCAUUGUGGGUUAAUCAUCUCAUAACAUAAGGAGUGUUUGCUUGAUGGGCAUUCAAACCAAAUGAUGAACGAAUUAGAUCCUAGGUUCUCCAAAAGAUGACAUUGUGUUUUGCUUCCGUUACCUCAUAGAUUUUCAGCCUUUGCGUCAAAAUGAUUUUGUGCAUUUGUUUUCGCACUAACUUGUAUUUUUUUUAAGCACAACCAUCCAUAUAUGUAAAAAAACUCAUGGCCACUUGUGUGAUUGAUAGAAAUCAGUUAACAUCUCAAUUUCCUCAUGUGCUAUUGUAUGACUACGGAGGUUUUUCUAACAUGAUCCUUCUUACCUCCCCUUUUCACAUGAGACGUAAGAGUAUAAAGUAAAUCUGAGUCAUUGACUGCAUUAAGUAGUGGACUUGACUAAAUCUUACCUUCUUAACUCCCAUGUGAAAAGAUGGGGUAAGAGGAAGCAUGUUAAAAUGGCUCAUGAAUGUGGUGCUGCCGCCAGUGGCAGAGCUUGAGCGUAAUCCAAGAGGGCCAUUACUUGAAGGGGGGGAAAUUAGAAGGGAAGGAGGGGAAAAUAUCUAGUUUAAACACUAGUUAGGCUUAAAAUAUAGUAUAUUCAUUGAUGGGUGCAAAAAUUAAGGGGGGCCAUGGCCCCUGUUGGUCUACAUGAAGCUCUGCCACUUGCUGCCGCACAUUCUACAGUGUUGUUAUAGACACUGACUGACUCUUGUUUUUGCACUAUAUCCAAAUGUACUAGCAGUCAUAAGACACCAAUCUGUCAGGAUCUCGGCUUUUGGCCUUCUGCUAGGAUGCAUUAAAGAUAUUGAUAAGUCUCGCCAUUCCUGGAUGUUGUGAAGGUUACCUGACUGGAACAGAUUGUUCUGGAGAAGGAUAUGGAGGCGCGGCAAACCUAAAGCAACGAUGAUGCAACAAAUGGAAUGUGAUCGAGAAUGGUAUUAUCUACAUGUGCACACCAGAGAGCAUACAAAUUAGGGUCUGCAUGGACGACCAAAACACAUGGCAUUUUUUAUCAACUAGCCCAUCCUUUUUUCUUUGAUCUACUAACAUUGGUUGCCAUUUCGGGCUUUUGGGCCGACCUUCGGGCGAGAAAUUGAAGCCCAAGCCUACCCCAGAUGUCGGGCUUUGGGCUCAGGCCUCUGGGCCGGGUAGUCCAUGAACAGGUUUAGUUUGAUCUAUUCACUCACAUUUUGAUCCUCAUUCAUUAUAGCAUUUAACCAUAAUUCAUAUGAACAUGCACCACGAGAAUAUAAUAAAGGAAAUGCAUGGGCUAAUUUGUAGUACACAACGCCUUAUUGUGCGGUAUCACAAGAACAUUUUUCUCCUUGAUUACAGUAGUAACUACUGUGCAAUCUUAUAUAUCAAAUCAUAUAUUAUAUGACAAAUUAAGUAUAUUGUUUUGCUUAUUUCAGUAUUACCUUCAUAAGGAAUAUAGUCACAAGUUUUGCUC
rnacentral:lncRNA from 1 species